GAUGAACGCUGGCGGCGUGCUUAACACAUGCAAGUCGAACGGAAAGGCCCAAGCUUGCUUGGGUACUCGAGUGGCGAACGGGUGAGUAACACGUGGGUGAUCUGCCCUGCACUUCGGGAUAAGCCUGGGAAACUGGGUCUAAUACCGGAUAGGACGAUGGUUUGGAUGCCAUUGUGGAAAGUUUUUUCGGUGUGGGAUGAGCUCGCGGCCUAUCAGCUUGUUGGUGGGGUAAUGGCCUACCAAGGCGUCGACGGGUAGCCGGCCUGAGAGGGUGUACGGCCACAUUGGGACUGAGAUACGGCCCAGACUCCCACGGGAGGCAGCAGUGGGGAAUAUUGCACAAUGGGCGCAAGCCUGAUGCAGCGACGCCGCGUGGGGGAUGACGGCCUUCGGGUUGUAAACUCCUUUCGCUAGGGACGAAGCGUUUUUGUGACGGUACCUGGAGAAGAAGCACCGGCUAACUACGUG
rnacentral:rRNA from 1 species